rnacentral:lncRNA from 1 species
CAUUCUACAUUGGUGAAAUUAAUAGAUUAAAAAGGAUUCAUCGUCACACUCAGCUGUACAUGUGGUGUCACCUUAUGACAUGAUAGUCACCAUAGUAACAACUGUGAGUUGGCAGCAUAUUGUCUUCAGUUAGGGAUCCCAGCAAUGAAUUAACAAAGUACGGCAGCUUCAGAUGCUGAUGUGAAGAAGAAGGGAAAAAGGGAAAAGGGAGGAACAGGUGUGCUUCUUUUCCUGCCAACAUUCUCUAGACCUGAGAUGAAGAAGGGGCUUCAUCUCCUGUUAUCAUCUUCUUGGCAUUGGGAUUUCAACACAGAAAUUUUGGAGGGGUCAGAGACAGGCAAGAAACAUGGAACAGUGUCACGCACACUGGUGGAAAUAUGACAGCUAAUUUUCCCUGCUUUGCUAUGUGUUUCAGCUAUUCUGCAAGUGUUUAAUUUUAAAUAAAAA